GCUAGUACUGCCAAGAUCAGUUUCUACAUCAAAGGGAGGAAGGAGACAUUUUUCUUCAAGAACAAGACUACACAAAUUCCAGAUCAAUCCAGACAUGAGUCAAGGAAGAGGACCAACAGGAGGAACAGGAACAAGCAAGUAUGGACCGAGUCAGCUAAGAUGGUCACUGCAGUUCAUGGAGGCCAAGAUCACCAACUUAUGUCACCGCUUUUGACCAAGAAGGACGACCCAGGAAUGCCAAGCAUCUACUGCUCCAUAAAUGGAUACAACUUCUACAAGGCAACUUGUGACACCGGAUCGGGCGUCAACAUAAUGGCCGCAGUCACCUAUCGGCUCUUGUUCGGAACCAUGCCCCUACGACCAACAUACAUUCAGCUCCAGAUGGCAGAUCAGACAUUUCGAGAAGUUAAAGGAAUAGUAACUGAUGUCCCAGUCAAAAUAGACGAUCAUUUUGUCUACACAGACUUUCAAGUUAUUGACAUGGGAGAAGACGAGUACGAUCCACCCAUCAUCCUUGGAAGACCGUUCCUCAGCACCGUUAAAGCAAUCAUCUACAUUGGAACCGGAGAAGUCCAUAUGCACUUCCCCUCAGAGAAGGUACGCCGUUAUUUUCCUGACCCUAACUAUAUCGUUGAAGAAUCUAAGCAGGUAAGGAAAAGACGCAACCGCAACCAGAGGAGGCAGAUCAUCAAGGACGGAUGGGCAGACUAUGAAGGAGAAGUUGUAAGGUCAGAAGACGUAGGGUUUAAACAGAAUUAUCCAGAGGAGACGGAAGCACCAAGUCAGGUAUGGAAAAUGAAGAUAACUAUACAUGAAGAGGAGGCACUGCCGGAAGUACCGACUCCGCCAACCAACGAACCUCAGGACAAUUGAAAAAAUGGAGAGUCCCGUUCGGAGGACUUAAAAACACCGAACGCCUUGCCAAGAGGUAAAAUUGGUAGUUAUCCUUUCCCUUUCAAUUAUUUCAAAUAGUUUACUUAGUUAAUUAUAUUCGUAUUAUCUUAAAAAGAAAAUAAAAAUAUGAAAAACAGUAAGCCCCAUGUGAGUAUGCGAGUGGCAUAAAACCCAUAAGUACAUUCACUGUGGUGGCAUAAAAAUAAAAUAAAUAUUUUUCUGCUUUAUAAAAUGAAAAUAUAAAAAUAGGGAGUAAUAAUUAUUAAGGAGUCUCAACAUGAUAAAGGCUAGAUAUUUAUGCUAACACUUAAUCAGUUCCACAAGCUUUGUUGUCUAUUUGAGCUCCACAGAAUUUAAGAAUCAAGAAGACUAGCAGACGGAGGACAUUCUAAUCGCUGUCAGAAUGCUGCUGACUUUCAAAUACACCUCUGCCGCCUUCUAGCUACAUCAAGAAAAAUUACGUCAAAAUUCAGCUUGGGGGAGAGCACCCCCAUUUAUCUCGAUAAGUAUUUCUAUCUAUCUUUAUACUUAUAUUAUAUUAGAAUAUUAAAAUACAUAAACUAUGAAAAAUCAAAUAAGGAUUUUAUGGUUAUAUAUAUAUAUCUUUUGCUUAGUGCGAUUAAUAAAUAAAUAAAUAAAGUGGCUAUGCUAAUCUGUAUCUAAAUAAAACUUAAGCAUGGAUAUGAUGAAUAGUUGCUCUGCCUAAUUUGUAUAUUUUAAGUUCUCUCUCAAGUUUAGACAUAACUGUUAUAAUUUAAAGCUUGCUCUAGACCUAAACUUGUGGGAUGAAAACUUGAUCUGAAGUCUAAGUUGUUAACUGAUAUGAUAUGGGAAGGUUGAGCUGCUGUUUAUCUGUACCUAGAGAUGCUAGAAUUCUGGAGAAUUUUAUCUUUGAAAAUCUUUAAAAUGUUGCAUGAUGAGUUCCUGUAUGAUGAGAGUUUAAAUUCCUACCACAGCCAUAUAUACAUGCUUGCUAGACUUUGAGCCACACAUUUAAUAUUUACUGCUUAUGAGCAUUGAGUGUGGUCAAGCUGUGUAGACCCUUAGGAGCUUGUCAUGUGGUUAAAUCAAGAUUUCACUUGCACGUUCACUCAUAUAUGCUACUUCUACUCCGGAAGUACCAUCCACAUAUAUCCACCCAUUUCCAUCUCCAGGACCACCCAAAAAUAUUCUACUCCUAAUCCGGGAGAGAAUAGCCAAAAAUAUUUUUGUUUUUCCCUUGUGAAAUAAAUGCUCAAGUUAUCUCGUUACUACCACUUGCUAUAUUAUCUCAAGAGAUGAGUGCUCUAAAAAAAAGAAGAAAAAAAAAUAAUAAAUACGAGAAAAUAAAAAGGAGCAAGUGCUCGGAACCUUGAAAGAAAAGAAAAAGUGAGACGAGAGAUAAAAAUGGACAAGUGUCCGACAGUAGAAUUAGGGGUACAAGAUACCCACCUGAGAGAAAAGAAAAAAAAUAUAGAGCAUCUCUUUCUCCUCAUAAAGUUUCAAAAAGCAAGGAAGGUAUGUAUCCCCUCAAAAGAGCAAAAGUAGAAUUAGACUUCCACCAUUGUUAUCACCAUCAUCACCAUACACCAUUCAUUCGCCACACAUGCACAUCUUGAUUUGGCUUAUUGAUUUGUUUCUUUGGAUCCAUAGUUUGACUAUGCAAUACAUGUCUUGUGAGUAUGUAUACUUUAUCUCCCACCUAUGAGCUCCAGAUAUUAAAGCCUUAUUAGAGUAGGGUAAGAGAGAAGGCAAUGUCACUAUGCUUAAUACCAUAAAUACUACAUAUCUUGAGAGAAGGCAUAUACCAUCACUGCCUUGGUAAGGAUCCAUAAAUACCACAAAAGAGAGAUCUGAGAGAAUCAUACAAGGAAUCUCUGAGUUUUAUUUGAAAAUUUGCAAAAACCCCAGAGCUAUAGCUGAUCAAGAAUAAGAGACAUGGCACUUGGCUAGACUGUUCUAUCUUUUAACCACUCAAGACAGAAGUGACGGUUACAGGUCCCAUGGUGAAAGGUAAAGUAAGUAAGUUUUAAGUCUUGACAGUUUACUCUAACUCAGAGAUGAGAUCUUAUUUAAAAAGCAUGUGUACCGUCAAUUCUUUUUAAAAUAUUGCAACAACUUAUGAUCCAUAGCUGAGUCUAUCCUUGCUCAGGGACGAGCAAGAGGUAAGCUUGGGGGAGUUUGUUGAUGGUCCUUAAGUAUCAAAUUUAAUUAUUAAAUAAAUAAACAAAAGGAUCCAAAUGAAAUCAACAUCUAGACUUAGGGUUUCAUCUGAGAGAAUUCCACGAGUUUUGGUGUUUGUCUAUUUCUGCAGGGGGUUAUGAGGAAAUACGGAAGAAAGGCCCACAUGUCAGGAUUACAUAGAGAUAUUAAUGUGCUGCGCAAUUAUCUUACAUCUAGAAGACUCCAGAAGCCACGAGACCGAAGCGGAGGCGAAACGGGGCCUGACCCUGGGUGCCCGCCCAGGUGAUCAGGGCGCCCGCCCACCUCCUGAGUCCAAUCAGGACUCUGCUUCGCGGGAGAUCUCCACCGACCUAAAGGAUGAAUCUAAACCAUACAAUCUAUGUCGGUUUGAUCCAACGGCCCAUAUUCACUUGAAGGGACUAUAAAACCAGACCCCCUGGCCCCUGGAGGAGAGAGCCUCUCAACCCUAAUUCAUUGUUCUUCAAGGGAGAUGAAGCCUCUGAUCAAGAUUAGAGCCACCACAUCAAUUAGAUAUCUAGAUUAGCAUAGCUACAUAGGAUUAGAGCUAGAAGGAGUCAAUCUUCGAUUGGUUUCCGGAUCUGUCAGGAGGAUUCUUGGUAAUUCUCUAAUUGUGCUUCUAAUUACUUUCUAAUUAUCUUUGUUCUUCAAUAUUAUGAAUAUGACUUUGUUCUACUUCAAUAUAUUGCUUAUGACUUUGCUCUACUUGCUUAUAUUCAAGAUUAUAUUGUUCUUAGUUUAUCAUAGUUAUGUACUUGGCUUAGUUAGAUUGGAUCUAUAUACAUGUUUAGGAUCGUAUAGCGUUUAUCCAUCGGAUCCAUGGGUAAAUGAUAGAUAUUGUGUAGGCGUGGUGCUUAUACCGUAUUUAUCUGCGAUUGUACCCAAUAUGCCAGAUCGUGGGGUGGUUCGUGAUAGUGACAGCUUCAUUGAUUCUUAUAUAGUCCCCCUCUCGUGUAUUGGGCUGGCAGAGCAACAUUAUUACAGGAGAGUGAUUGCUAUGUUUCUCAUAUUCCUUGCUAAUAUCACUAUGCAUGGGCGUAGUCUUGUCUCGCAAUGAUUGCUAAGUAUGCUUGCACUAAUUAUGAUAAUGCUAGACUAUAUAGUUGAGAAUAACUUAGGGAAUAUUCUUGUAGUUCGUUCUAAUACCAUGCUAAUGACUUUCUAGAGUAUCUAAUUGAGAUGCUUAUCAUAUUUAUUAUGUGGCUAGAUCAGAUUAGUUAUCCUUGUCACUAUUAUUAUUUCAUAUAUCUUUUAUGUGACACUUAUCCCUGUAUGAAGAGUUAGAUAUAAUGUUCUCAAUUAUACAUGCAAUGAUAGAUGCUCAAUCUCAUAUUCUAUUCUGUAAUCAAUAUUGAUGAUUGCUAAUCCCUUCCCAGUGGUAAAAAUAUAAAUAACGAUACCUGGAAUACUUCCCGCUUAAAAUGCUGCACCGGUAUUAAUCUGUGCGCUUGCAGAUCCCAUUCAUUAUUUAGAGAACUUAGUCUACUUUUGGUAAUGAUGAUAAGAAUACCCAACAAGCAUUUUUGGCGCCGUUGUCGGGGAAGCUUGAUUACUAAUCAGGAAUGGAAUAAAAGAUUUUGAGUUAUCAUUCGCAUCACUAGUACGAUUGAGCUUAUCUAUUCUCUUAUACAGUUUUACCCCGAUAUUUUUCUAUUUUAUCUUAUGCAGUGGAAUGUAUGAAUAGAAGACAUCUUCCAGGAAAUUUUGUUGACAAUCCUGAAGCAUUAUUCAAGAAGACGAGAGCCAAGCUCAAGAAGAGAUCAUCAAUACUUCAGCAAGAAGCUUCAUCCAAUCAAGAAGAUCACCGGAACUUGUGUUCAGAGUUCGAGGCCAUGGCGACUAAAUCAAUCCGCGAGUUCUUAGCUCUCACUACGGACAACAUCCGCACUGGACCUGCUGCAGAGAUCGAUGGCAACUUUGAGCUCAAGCCUGGACUUAUCAACAUGGUGCAAUCCAACCAGUUCUGUGGGAAGGCACAUGAAGAUGCUAGUGCUCAUUUACAACACUUCCUAGAGAUUUGCAACACAUUCACCAUAUCAGGAGUUUUCAAAGAUGCUAUACUACUUCGCCUCUUCCCAUUCUCACUGUUAGGAAGAGCGAAGCAGUGGUUCUACGCUACAAAGGAGAAGAACACUACGUGGGCACUCUGCUCAACAAACUUUCUGGCAAAGUUCUUUCCCAUGGGCAAGACCAAUGCUCUCCGUGGGAAGAUUACAAGUUUUCAGCAACAAAAUGAUGAAUCUGUUCCAGAAGCAUGGGAGCGCUUUCAAGACUACAUCCUAGAAUGUCCCCAUCAUGGAAUGGAGAGUUGGCUAUUGAUGCAGACGUUUUAUUAUGGGCUCGGCAAUAGUGCCCGAGAAACCAUGGAUGCUGCAGCUGGAGGACCAUUCUUAUCACUUACUAUACCACAAGCCAUAGCUCUUGUGGAGAAGAUGGCGUCCAAUCAAAGCUGGAAUGAAGAGAGGACCCAGACACGCAAGAGAGGUGGAGGUAUGCAUCAGCUGAAGGAGGUAGACAUGCUGUCUGCAAAGCUAGACCUGCUCAUGAAGAAGCUCGACGAUAGGGCUGGAGACAAGAAGGAAGUUAUGCACAUCUACGACUCUCACAUGACUUGUGAGGAGUGUGGAGACACUAGACACUCAGGCAACCACUGCCCUGAGAUACUUGAGGAUGUGAACUACAUCAAUAACAACAACAACUACUACAACCGUCCUCAACAAAAUCAUAGUUGGAAUCAACAGAGGCCUAACUACUCAGGUAAUUAUCAAGGUAACAAUUCUUACAACAAUAAUAAUAAUUUUCCACCUUUGAGAGAGUUAGUGUCUAAUCAAGGAAAGCUAAUGGAUAACCUAUCUAAGAAAUUGGCAUCUAAUGAUAAAAUGCUAGAAAAUAUAAAUAAUAGAAUGGAUAAUUUCUCUACUGCCAUCAAGAAUCAAAUUAGCUUUAACAAAAUGAUUGAAUCUCAGUUAAAUCAAAUAGCUGCUGUUGUUCAUGCUACUAACCCCGGUAUACCAUCACAACCGGAAGGAUUAGAAUCUGCAAAUCUUGUAGACAUGUUUGAUGCAGGUAAUAAUUGGAGUAACCCCGUCACUGAAUUCAAUACUGACCUUCUGCCGGUCAAGAGAGGUGAUCCAGGACGCCCCGUCAUCCCGAUCUCCAUCGGCAUGGUGGACGUUCCCGAAGCACUCUGCGACUUUGGCUCCAGUAUCAACAUUAUACCCAGGGUACUCUAUGAAAUAUUCUUUACAUAUCCUUUAUUAGAAACAACCAUGUGUUUGCAGUUUGCAGAUCAGACGAUAACUUUUCCAAAAGGAAUCGUGAAGAACCUUUGCGUCCGAGUUGGUACCUUGUAUGCCCCAGCAUACUUCGUAGUGGUAGAGACCGGAAAUGAUGAGAGAGCACCUAUCAUCUUAGGGAGGCCAUUCUUGAACACCACGAGAGCUAUCAUCUACGCUAGUACUGUCAAGAUCAGUUUCUACAUCAAAGGGAGGAAGGAGACAAUUUUCUUCAAGAACAAGACUACACAAAUUCCAGAUCAAUCCAGACGUGAGUCAAGGAAGAGGACCAACAGGAGGAACAGGAACAAGCAAGUAUGGACCGAGUCAGCUAAGAUGGUCACUGCAGUUCAUGGAGGCCAAGAUCACCAACUUAUGUCACCGCUUUUGACCAAGAAGGACGACCCAGGAAUGCCAAGCAUCUACUGCUCCAUAAAUGGAUACAACUUCUACAAGGCAACUUGUGACACCGGAUCGGGCGUCAACAUAAUGGCCGCAGUCACCUAUCGGCUCUUGUUCGGAACCAAGCCCCUACGACCAACAUACAUUCAGCUCCAGAUGGCAGAUCAGACAUUUCGAGAAGUUAAAGGAAUAGUAACUGAUGUCCUAGUCAAAAUAGACGAUCAUUUUGUCUACACAGACUUUCAAGUUAUUGACAUGGGAGAAGACGAGUACGAUCCACCCAUCAUCCUUGGAAGACCGUUCCUCAGCACCGUUAAAGCAAUCAUCUACAUUGGAACCGGAGAAGUCCAUAUGCACUUCCCCUCAGAGAAGGUACGCCGUUAUUUUCCUGACCCUAACUAUAUCGUUGAAGAAUCUAAGCAGGUAAGGAAAAGACGCAACCGCAACCAGAGGAGGCAGAUCAUCAAGGACGGAUGGGCAGACUAUGAAGGAGAAGUUGUAAGGUCAGAAGACGUAGGGUUUAAACAGAAUUAUCCAGAGGAGACGGAAGCACCAAGUCAGGUAUGGAAAAUGAAGAUAAUUAUACAUGAAGAGGAGGCACUGCCGGAAGUACCGACUCCGCCAACCAACGAACCUCAGGACAAUUGAAAAAAUGGAGAGUCCCGUUCGGAGGACUUAAAAACACCGAACGCCUUGCCAAGAGGUAAAAUUGGUAGUUAUCCUUUCCCUUUCAAUUAUUUCAAAUAGUUUACUUAGUUAAUUAUAUUCGUAUUAUCUUAAAAAGAAAAUAAAAAUAUGAAAAACAGUAAGCCCCAUGUGAGUAUGCGAGUGGCAUAAAACCCAUAAGUACAUUCACUGUGGUGGCAUAAAAAUAAAAUAAAUAUUUUUCUGCUUUAUAAAAUGAAAAUAUAAAAACAGGGAGUAAUAAUUAUUAAGGAGUCUCAACAUGAUAAAGGCUAGAUAUUUAUGCUAACACUUAAUCAGUUCCACAAGCUUUGUUGUCUAUUUGAGCUCCACAGAAUUUAAGAAUCAAGAAGACUAGCAGACGGAGGACAUUCUAAUCGCUGUCAGAAUGCUGCUGACUUUCAAAUACACCUCUGCCGCCUUCUAGCUACAUCAAGAAAAAUUACGUCAAAAUUCAGCUU
rnacentral:lncRNA from 1 species